ensembl:lncRNA
GCUCCUCACCUGCACAGCUAUGCUGGCAGGAGCAGCAAUUUCAGCCUGCCCAAAUUUUCGCUCUUAGAAGAGCAAGAUGACCAGGAAGCAGCUGCUGUGCCCUCCCAGAAGGGAAACGGCCAGGAUCUGCGGGCACCUAGAGGGAUCCCCUGGGCUACAGUGAUCUACUUUCCAAAUGACUGCAGACCUCUCCAGCUUUUCACAGUCGGCUCCAAGCCCCUGGAGCAUCCAUCAGGUUCUGAAGACAGGCCCAAGCAGCCAAAGGGAAAGGCUCACCUAAAACCCUGAUGGAGAAGUCACUACGGGUUGACGGGGCAGCCAGGUGGGAGGCGAUCCCAUAGCUGAACCCCAUUGACUGCGUCCCUGCUCUUCCUAACCGCCGCGCCCCUCGCCCCUCUGAGGACGCGAGCUGCAGCCCCGGCGCCCUGGAUGGAGCUCUGCGCUGUGGCUGGCAGGCAGGAGGCUGCUCCUGGCCGCUCCGGAGGCAGGACUGGCAGGAUGGGGGUUUGGAUGUGCAUUCUAGGGAAAAGGCAGCAGGAAAGAGAAGAAAAGGAAACCACUUUCCAGAAGAGCAAUUAAUUUUUAGCAGAAGUAGAAAAUGGCUGAUGGUGAUUUUUUUUUUUAAGUUCAGUCAACUGAAAAGACUGGAACUAGAAUAAGGUUUAAAUAAAAAAGAAAUUCCUUCUGUAAAUCAAUUCCUAGCUCUUCAAAUUACCCCGGAUAGAUUACGGUAUGAAAGAAAUGAUGUAGAC